GAUCCUGGCUCAGGACGAACGUUGGCGGCGUGCUUAACACAUGCAAGUCGAACGAAGGGUAGAAAUACCCUUAGUGGCGGACGGGCGAGUAACGCGUGAGCAAUCUGCCCUUGUCAGGGGAAUAACACAUAGAAAUGUGUGCUAAUACCGCAUGACGUUACGAAGUGGCAUCACUUUGUAACCAAAGAAUUAUCGGACAAGGAUGAGCUCGCGUCCCAUUAGGUAGUUGGUGAGGUAACGGCCCACCAAG
rnacentral:rRNA from 1 species